UACGUAGGGGGCUAGCGUUGUCCGGAAUUAUUGGGCGUAAAGAGCUCGUAGGCGGUCUGUCGCGUCUGCUGUGAAAAUCCAGGGCUCAACCCUGGACCUGCAGUGGGUACGGGCAGACUAGAGUGCGGUAGGGGAGAUCGGAAUUCCUGGUGUAGCGGUGAAAUGCGCAGAUAUCAGGAGGAACACCGGUGGCGAAGGCGGAUCUCUGGGCCGUAACUGACGCUGAGGAGCGAAAGCAUGGGGAGCGAACAGG
rnacentral:rRNA from 1 species